rnacentral:rRNA from 1 species
AUGGCGACCGCAGCGGCGUCGAAGAAGGCGGCGAACCGGCUGGUGGUGGAGGAGGCCGCCACCAACGACAACUCCGUGUGCAACCUCCACCCGGCCACAAUGGAGAAGCUCUCCAUAUUCCAGGGCGACAUCGUGCUGCUCAAGGGCAAACGCCGCCACAACACGUUCGGCAGACGCGUGCACAUCCUCCCCUUGGACGACACCGUCGAGGGCAUCGAGGGGAACCUCUUCGACGCCUACCUCAAGCCCUACUUCAUCGACGCCUACCGCCCGGUCCACAAGGGUGACCUCUUCCUUGUGCGUGGUGGCAUGCGGAGCGUUGAGUUCAAGGUCAUGGAGAUCGACCCCACGGUGGACUACUGUGUCGUGGUGCCCGACAUGGAGAUAUUCUGCGAGGGCGAGCCGGUCAAACGGGAGGACGAGGAGAGGCUUGACGACAUCGGCUACGACGACGUGGGUGGCAUGGGGAAACCGCUGACUCUGAUCAGGGAGCUCGUCGAGCUGCCACUCAGGCAUCCGCAGAUCUUCAAGAGCAUUGGCGUCAAGCCUCCCAAAGGCAUCCUCCUCUACGGCCCUCCAGGGUCCGGCAAGACGCUCAUCGCCCGUGCGGUGGCCAACGAGACCGGGGCCUUCUUCUUCCUUAUCAACGGCCCAGAGAUAAUGUCGAAGAUGGCUGGAGAGAGCGAGAGCAACCUGAGGGAGGCCUUCGAGGAGGCCGAGAAGAACGCGCCCUCCAUCAUCUUCAUCGACGAGAUCGACUCCAUUGCUCCGAACAGGGAGAAGACUCACGGCGAGGUCGAGAGGCGCAUCGUCUCCCAGCUGCUGACUCUGGUGGACGGCAUGAAAGCCCGCACGCACGUCAUUGUCAUGGGCGCCACGAACCGUCCCAACAGCAUCGACCCUGCCUUGAGGCGCUUCGGGAGGUUCGAUCGCGAGAUCGACAUCGGCGUGCCGGACGAGGUUGGGCGUCUCGAAGUGCUCCGCAUCCACACGAAAAACAUGAAGCUGGACGAGGACGUCAACCUUGAGUGCAUCAGGGAGAAGAUGGACGUGAUUGACUUAGAGGACGACACUAUCGACGCCGAGAUCUUGAACUCCAUGGCCGUCACCAAUGACCACCUUAAGACAACGCUCGUCGGCACGAACCCGUCCGCGCUACGUGAGACCGUCGUGGAGGUGCCCAACGUCAACUGGAACGACAUCGGCGGCCUCGACGGUGUCAAGAGGGAGCUGCAAGAGACCGUCCAGUACCCGGUCGAGCACCCGGAGAAAUUCAAGAAGUUUGGCAUGUUGCCGUCCAAGGGCGUCCUCUUCUACGGGCCACCAGGAUGCGGCAAGACCUUGCUGGCGAAGGCGAUCGCCAACGAGUGCCAGGCCAACUUCAUCAGCAUCAAGGGGCCAGAGCUGCUCACCAUGUGGUUCGGCGAGAGCGAGGCCAACGUGCGCGAGAUCUUCGACAAGGCGCGGCAGUCUGCACCGUGCGUCGUAUUCUUCGACGAGCUCGACUCCAUCGCAAGCCAAAGGGGCAGCAGAGUGGGCGACGCCGGCGGCGCGGCAGACAGGGUCCUGAACCAGCUGCUCACCGAGAUGGACGGCAUGAACGCCAAGAAGACCCUCAUCUACAUCCCCUUGCCGGACGAGGCCUCGCGGCACCAAAUCUUCAAGGCCUGCCUCCGGAAGUCUCCUGUGGCCAAGGACGUCGACCUCGGUGCACUCGCAAAGUUCACCGCCGGCUUCAGUGGUGCCGACAUCACGGAGAUCUGCCAGAGGACGUGCAAGUACGCCAUAAGGGAGGACAUUGAAAAGGACAUGGAGAGGCAGAGGAUGGGGAAAGACACCAUGGAGGUGGACGGUGGGCAGGAAGAGGAGGCUGCGGAGAUCAAGGCGGCUCACUUCGAGGAUUCAAUGAAGUACGCGAGGCGGAGCGUGAGUGACGCCGACAUCCGGAAGUACCAGGCCUUCGCACAGACGCUACAGCAGUCCAGGGGGUUUGGCACCGAGUUCCGCUUCCCGGCGCAGCCCCAGGCGGCAGAAGCUGCUGCAGACAACUCCGCGGCAGCUGAUGAGGAGGAAGAUGAUCUGUACAAGUGA